GGUUAAGUUAGAAAGGGCGCACGGUGGAUGCCUUGGCACUAGGAGCCGAAGAAGGACGGGACUAACACCGAUAUGCUUUGGGGAGCUGUACGUAAGCGUUGAUCCAGAGAUUUCCGAAUGGGGGAACCCACUAUCUUUAGUCGGAUAGUAUCCUUACGUGAAUACAUAGCGUGAGGAAGGCAGACCCAGGGAACUGAAACAUCUAAGUACCUGGAGGAAGAGAAAGAAAAAUCGAUUUCCUGAGUAGCGGCGAGCGAAACGGAAAGAGCCCAAACCAAGAAGCUUGCUUCUUGGGGUUGUAGGACACUCUAUACGGAGUUACAAAAGAAAGUUAUAAAUGAAGCGGUCUGGAAAGGCCCGCCAAAGACGGUAACAGCCCGGUAGUUGAAAUGGCUUUCCCUCCAGAGUGGAUCCUGAGUACGGCGGAACACGUGAAAUUCCGUCGGAAUCCGGGAGGACCAUCUCCCAAGGCUAAAUACUCCCUAGUGACCGAUAGUGAACCAGUACCGUGAGGGAAAGGUGAAAAGCACCCCGGAAGGGGAGUGAAACAGUUCCUGAAACCGUGUGCCUACAAGUAGUUAGAGCCCGUUAAUGGGUGAUAGCGUGCCUUUUGUAGAAUGAACCGGCGAGUUACGAUUUGUUGCAAGGUUAAGCGGAAAAAGCGGAGCCGUAGCGAAAGCGAGUCUGAAUAGGGCGCAUAAGUAACAGGUCGUAGACCCGAAACCAGGUGAUCUACCCAUGUCCAGGAUGAAGGUAAGGUAAUACUUACUGGAGGUCCGAACCCACGCACGUUGAAAAGUGCGGGGAUGAGGUGUGGGUAGCGGAGAAAUUCCAAUCGAACUUGGAGAUAGCUGGUUCUCUCCGAAAUAGCUUUAGGGCUAGCCUCGAGGUAAAGAGUCAUGGAGGUAGAGCACUGUUUGGACUAGGGGCCCUUCUCGGGUUACCGAAUUCAGAUAAACUCCGAAUGCCAUGUACUUAUACUCGGGAGUCAGACUGCGAGUGAUAAGAUCCGUAGUCGAAAGGGAAACAGCCCAGACCACCAGUUAAGGUCCCCAAAUAUAUGUUAAGUGGAAAAGGAUGUGGGGUUGCUUAGACAACCAGGAUGUUGGCUUAGAAGCAGCCACCAUUGAAAGAGUGCGUAAUAGCUCACUGGUCGAGUGACCCCGCGCCGAAAAUGUACCGGGGCUAAACAUAUUACCGAAACUGUGGAUGAACCUCUUUAGAGGUUCGUGGUAGGAGAGCGUUCUAAGGGCGGUGAAGUCAGACCGGAAGGACUGGUGGAGCGCUUAGAAGUGAGAAUGCCGGUAUGAGUAGCGAAAGAAGGGUGAGAAUCCCUUCCACUGAAUAUCUAAGGUUUCCUGAGGAAGGCUCGUCCGCUCAGGGUUAGUCGGGACCUAAGCCGAGGCCGAUAGGCGUAGGCGAUGGACAACAGGUAGAGAUUCCUGUACCAGUGCUAAUUGUUUAACCGAUGGGGUGACACAGAAGGAUAGGGAAUCGCACGAAUGGAAAUGUGCGUCCAAGCAGUGAGUGUGAGAAGUAGGCAAAUCCGCUUCUCGCGAAGCAUGAGCUGUGAUGGGGAAGGAAAUUAAGUACGGAAGUUCCUGAUUUCACGCUGUCAAGAAAAGCCUCUAGGAAGAGUAGUACUGCCCGUACCGCAAACCGACACAGGUAGAUGAGGAGAGAAUCCUAAGGUGAGCGAGAGAACUCUCGUUAAGGAACUCGGCAAAAUGACCCCGUAACUUCGGGAGAAGGGGUGCUCUAUUAGGGUGCAAGCCCGA
rnacentral:rRNA from 1 species